CUUCACCAUGAGGGUGGCGAGACACUGACCCAGGUUGCCCAGGGAAGCUGUGGCUGCCCCAUCCCUGGAGGGGUUCCAGGCCAGGUUGGAUGGGCCUUGGGCAGCUUGAGCCAGUGUGUCCCUGCGCGUGGCAGGGAGGUUGGAAUGUUCGUUAAGGUCCCUUCCAACCCAAACUAUUCUAUGAUUCUAUACCAUAAUGAACCGCAGCCCCAAGUUGCAGCCGCACUCUGCCUACGCCCACAGCGUGCUGCAGGGCUACGAUUACCCCGAUCCGCCCCACUGCUGCCCCCGUGGCAGAGCCUUUGUGUCAGGGGCCAGUGUGGACCCGUCAGCACUGUGGGCAUGCAGAGCCACAGCUCCUCGCCUCCAAAUGCCACAUCAUAUGGUGGGAUCAUAUGGUGUGUCUUGCACCAGUAAUCAAGUGACUGCAAAUCAGGACAUGAAAGUGCUUUGUCAAUGCCAAAAGCAAAACAUAAGGAAAAAUAUUUCCCCUCUCCUUAGUGCCUAAAAGUUCAAUAUUACACAGAGGAUCUUAAAUAUUUUGAAGUGCUAAAGGCUGACUGAAGGACAGAAGUGUAUUACAUUGGGUACAGGGAUCUUCUGCUUCUGAAAUAUGAGAGACAUUUCACUAGGGAAUUCUUAGUCUUUCCAGAUGAGAGAUAAGGGCAGAAACCUGAUAUUGUUGGAGACUGGCUGCAGGAAGUGCAAUUGCUAAUGGCCAGCCUUGAUGUUCUACUGUGCUUUGUAGUUAGAAGUGUGUGUUUUAUCAAGACAGGAUGAAGUGAAGCUGAACUUUACAGGUCUGUCUUGCUGUAGCAGGAUACCUCUAGGUGGAUGUCUAGCUUGCCUCCAGCCCAGGUUGUGGCUCUGGGCAGAGGCUGGGGUGGUCUCACCCCCUCUCAAAUUCUUAGUUUUGUAUCUUUUCCUUUUUGCUGGUUCAAAGCUCUUAACCACUUGCAGGAAUUUAAUUUUCUGAAGGCCUUUAGUGUUUUGCCUGAAUGCCUUUUGCAGUAUCUGCGCAGGCAUGAGGGGCUGGCGUUUUUCUUUUGUCCUGCAGGUUGGAGCCCUGAUGCAAUCGGUGUUUCUAGAUGAACACCGGACAGCCAGUAGAGGCUCUAAUCUCCAUUCUCACCUGUCAACUAUGUCAUCUUACUUCUAGGUGACACCAGAAAAUAUCCAAAUGAGGAGAAUAUUUUGUUGGGCAUUACACAGCCAGCUGGAGCAGCAGCUGAGUGACAACAUAACAAGCCUUUAAACAGCUCUGUUGUUGGUGGAGUUGUCCAUGACUGAGUGAACACUGGUUCCCUCGGAAUCAGACACCCACCUAGUUGCUCCAUGGUGAACUCAUGUUUGCUGAGGAGGUAACAGCAUGAUGCCGGGUCAGGCAUUUUCUCUGUCAGUUUUACGCCGAUAAAUACAGAAGAAAGGGCUGCUCGUGACAAUGUUAUACAUGAAAACAACAGCAGAAGACAGAGGCUCCUGUAGAGGUAGUAUCUAUCGUAGCUACUUUUCUUUUUUAGUUUAUUGUUAUUUCUAUGAGAAAGCUUUUGGUACUACAGUACUACAUAGAAAGUUAGGUUGAAAGAUGCUCUCUCUCCCUCUUGCUGAGUGUAGGUCCAGCUUUAUCGGGCUGCUCAGCGCUCAGUGGCCACUGAGCCCCUGGAGCCCAAACAGUGUGAGCGCAGAGCACUGUGACUGCGAUUGUGGAAGGGUCUGAACAAGUACCGAGUAGCAAAGACAUUGGUAUUCUUCAUGGGAUUUAAUCUUAAUGCAACUCAUUAGUCUUCAUGGUGGAAGACUGAUGGUGCCAAAGGAUUAAUUUAAAUCUAAAUUCCUUAGGUAUUGCCUCACAGAAUGGGAGGUGAAGGUCAUGCAGUGAAGGAGGCCCAUGAAUAGAGCCCUGCUGUGGGUAGAGCUCCAGCCCCAGAUGUCCCCAGGGAAAAGCUGGUCAAGGGACUGGUGCUGAUGGUCCUGGAUGUCAGUAAGGGGGCUGCUCCAGGCAAAGUAGAGCCUUUGUCUCACACUUCAGGAGAAACUACCAAAAGCCAGUGUCAAACACGAGCUGAGGUCAUUGCCAUUUUCUUUUUUCAGCUGUUUAAAUUGCUAUUACUCAGCAAACUCACACCAGCAGAUGAGGCCGGAGUCCUGCAGCACAGGUGCUCUGUUAGAAGCCGAAGGAAAGGCAAGCUGAGCUGGUCAAGGGCAAGCGGUGUCGUUUAGCAAGCAAGAGACCAAAUGGAAGCACCAUCUCCUGCAUGCCUUGUGCCUGAUCUGGGGAUGCCGGGACUGAGCGUGGCCAGUGCUUGGAUGGCAGCCGGCACCGGCCAGCCUGCGGAGCGUGACAGCAUAGUGCCCAGCUAUCACUGCACCAGAUACAAAACACAAGGGUGUAGCUGUAUUUCAUCCAUUGUCUUUGAGCUCCUAAAAUUGUCCCACGUUGCCUGCUUGGGCUGGCAUGUUUUCAGCACUGAAAACCAGAUGUUGCCAAUUUUCCAGUGGUUGUUCUUGGUGCUUUAUGCUGUUGCUUUAACAGAAAUAUGCAUGUCAUGCCUCCUGCAAAAACAGAUAUGAUUUGCUCCCUCCACAAGGGUCAGCUAUGUUUUCUGCUGCCUUCCUCUCCACAGAGAUGCCAUUCUAGCUCAAAAAUGUUGCUGUUAGCUUUCCAUGAGCAGGAGUUCACCCUCCAUAGCAACACACAGACUUCUCCCAGCCACAUGCUACCUGGCUGCCAAGCAGCUGCUUGGUUUAUGCCUGCAAAAGUACUCACCUGAAUAUUUUUUGCCAAUAAAAUAACUUCUUAUUUCCAUCUGCAAUGUUAGACAUGAAAGACAAUUUAUUCACCAGUUCUGUGCUUCCUUCCUGGCUGCAAGUGCAGUACUGCAAAGGAGCAAAUCUCCCUGGCACCAUUCAGACAAACCCCUCUGACAUGGGCAGGGAGGUAGGCAGGCUCUGACCACACCGAUGCAUGUAGUGAAUAGGAUGACUUAUUUCUGAAGAAGUGCAGCUCAGCAGUGCUUGUGCCCUGUCUUGGUUUCAUGUGUACUUGACGUAGGCUGUUAACAGAAGCCCUCAAAGUAGUCCUACAGCUGCUGCUGCAAGCUACAAUCCCUCCAGCACCCUGACCUUCUGCAGCAAAAUACAUGGCAUUUUUAUGUACUUCAGGGGUAUGGAACAGAAAGCAAACUGGGAAGGAGCACAGCAUUAAAAAUAAGCUAAUACAGCACAGCAGGAAAAGUGUGCUAAGUAACCUGAGCUGUCAUCGGGCAGCACUCGGAUAGUGUCCGAACCAAAGCUUCUAGCAGAGGCUCCGCUACAUCUGAAGAAAUGGUGUUGACCCACACAGAUCGAGGUUUGCCAAGGGCUGCUGCCAGGAGCUGCCACUGAAGUUGGAUUAAGUUUUAAUGAGCAUGGCUCAUAGUCUUAUGUACACUUUCAUGCUGAGUGCCCCAUCACCCAGCUUCAGACCAGGAAGUUUUCUUCGCAUUUCUGCCAGCAGUUUCCUUAGCAUUUUUAUUUUUCUCAUAGUCACUGGAAAAAUAAAGUGGCACAUUAAUAAUAACCAUCUUCUUAGAAAUAUAGCAACACAGAAUAAGGGGCAGGGGUGGGGUCUUAGGGACAGCUUAUUUUUUUGGUGCGCCAAUCUCACUGCAUCAUGGCUGUCUCACAACCAAAAUUUAGGUUUUUAAUGAAUUGUAAAGCACAAAGCGCAUCAGGACAAGACCUAGCUACGUGUAUGCGAGCCCCACAGGUCAGACUGCCUUUUUACAUUACUGUAAAAGCUGUAGAGAAAAGUGCCAUCUCUCUCUGGCAGAGAGACUAGCUGUGUAUUGCCAUAAACCGGGACGAUAAACAGUCAAGGCUGUAAAGUGGGAAAUCCACCGCAGUCCCUUGGUUUGGAGGCCAAAUGCGGCCAGUGUCAGCAUGAGGGGCUCUGCAGCACCUCACACAAGCACACGGCUGAACACACCCUGUGUGAGCUGAAAGCUUGGGAGAAAAGUGUUACCAGUACAAAUGCAGGUUUAUGUUGAAUCAAGGUACUGUGAACCACUUUCUACUGCAAGGGCCCAGGGCUAAGCAUCACUGUGGAGCUCCUAAAAGAACAAACACUGGAAGUAAGAGAGCUGUGUGCUACUGCCUGGGUCGCCUGCUUAAAGACUGCAAAUUACCUGUACAAGCUGAGCUUCUUAUCUGUUUGAGUAGCUGUCUGUAUCUGUGUAUGUAUAUGUAUGUGUAUAUGUCGAGAAAUAUAUAUAUAUAUAUAUAUGUAAACACAUAGAUGCAUAUACACAUAUUUAUAACUGUAAUACACACAUCUGUAUAUAUAAACAUAAUACAUAUAUAUAUAUAUACACAAACCAUCCCUAGGAAGCUUCAGGGGCUUUGGCUGCUUUGCAGCCCUCUCUGCAGCUGUGGGGUUUUUUUUCUCAUGUUCUCCAGCCCUAUUACAUUUGGCAGAAGGGCCGCAGUACCUCCCUGACUCCCACAGCACGGGGGAACUGGCAGAGCCCUCCAUUCAAAGAGCAAUACUGGCAUCAAGCAUUUAGACCGAGGGUCAUCGUUUCUUCCUGCUUUGCUGCCUUACCCAGGAGCCAGCACUUCACUGUGCAAAGAGCAAUCUGAGUUUUGCUCCUCACUUGCUUCUGGCGUAGCAUUUGCUGUGGGGGGAGAGAAGGUGGCCCUGAUUAUAUACAGGAGUGUAUGUAUUUCUCCCGGUAUAACUCUGUAGCUUGGUUGUGCUGGGAAUUUUUCAGUACAAAUGUGAAUGUACUGUAAUUCGAAGGUGAUUCCAGUUCCAUUUUCAUAGCAGUGGCUUAUGCGGCUCUGUCUUUCCACCCUUACAAAGGAAGGAGCUCUUAGGUCCAUGUUUAUGACAGCCUGUGGCAUUACCUGCUCUGGCAGUGUCUGCCCUGUCUGUGUGCUAAACCAGGGCACAGCAGCAGCAAGAAGACAAUUUGCUGAGCUAUUCUAUAACUGCCAUGGAAAAUGUAGGUAUUUCUUGACUGCACCCAGGCAUCCAUUCUGGCAAGGAGAGAUUUCAUUCUAGGGGGAUACAGGAAGGCUCGCUCUCCAUCUCUCUGCCAGCGUGCUCUGGCUCCACCAUGUGCCGUGAGUCCUCCUUGCUAUGAGAUGCACCUUUUCCAGGGAAUUGCUGUAUCUCUCUGCACCGCAACGCUGGGAGAAAGGUUAGGGCAGCCACGCCACACAGCACGCACGGCCCAUCUGCAGCCACCAGGAGAAAAACGGGUGUGCUCAGCCUCUUUCUCUAAGCUAAGGAUGUACAUGAAGCUGCGCUGUGGAGCAUUGGAAUUAAACUGGUGAGUUUAACCAGUAAAUUACAACCUGGUGCUGCCACAGGUGGGCUGGGCAGAGGCCCAGCUUGGUUUCAAAGAGGCUUUGGGAUUGCAGUCUGCCACUGCCCCAGGUGUGCUGGGAUGCACUGGUGCACUGGCAGUGGCUCUUUAUAUGGUGGGGUAAAUGCCCCAAAACCACAACAGGCUGAGAGACAAACUGCAGAGAGAAAAAAAUCUGGUAAAGUAUUAAUAAAAUCUGAGCUUAAGCACAUUGUGUCAAGUCUGGUUGACUACAAAAGUCUAUGGACUGCCCUCGAAGCUGCAAAGCACAUUAUACCUCGAGGGAGAGGAGAGGGAGAAAGAAGAGGGACAGGGAGAGGGACGUGCCAUGCACAAACAUGCUCCAAAACACUGCUUUGACAUGGGCUUGUUGUCAGUGCCCUACGCAAGAAGAGAUCUCUGGACCUCAGUCUGCUAUGCCAUUCUUCACACAGCCUCGGCUCCUAUUUACAGCCCCCGAAGCCUUCUAUGUACUUAUGACAACCAUUAAUUUAAACUGAAGAAGCUGCUGCACCCCAGCUACGUCAAUGGACCUGAAGGUACCACUGAGGCUCAAGUGCAGCCUCCACUGCAGAGCUGAUCUCAGUACUGGCAGGUCUAAAACACUCUGUGACCACUUUGUAGAUCUAUUGUUUUGAUUUGGGUUGCUUGGGGUAUUUUUUUUUGCUUUUUAGCUGUGUAUGACUUAAUAACUUUCAGGGGUCGGAAACACUUGUACUACAGACAACUAUUGAUUUCCAGAAGGGAAGCGACUGAUGAUUUGCUGCAGGUCCAGCUCUAGAAGAUGCCCAAGUGCUGUUUGACCCAGAAUUUGCUGUGUUCCUGCAGGCAGUGACUCUCCUAGCAGGAGUGAGGGCAGCGGAGACAAAGAUGAAUGGCUUAUAUCCCUCGUAAUACACAACAAAAACAGGCUUUUAUGAAGAAUAGAGCACAGACCUGGGUGGAAAGGGUGACAGUCACUUUUGAAGGUCACACAUAACAUUUCCUUAUGGCAAGUUUGCCUUCGGUGACUGACAAAAGCAGGACAGAUUAAAUGCCUUCCAACAGACCUGAAUUAAAAAUGAAGUCAUGUUAUUUGGAGGACUGACAGUCCCACCAGCAAUAAUAGAGGCUGCUGACAGUUCCGGCUUCACAACAAAAAAGUAUCUUCCCACAUUGUCAAAAGAGCUUCUCUGCAAUCGGCAUAAAUAAGGUGUUAUUUGAGCAGAAAUGUUAAUGGCAAAGAGAUAUAAAUUAUACUGUAAAAAUACACUGUAGCUGAAAAAGGCAUCUUGUUUCUCAUAUAUAUGAGAAUAUAUAUUUUUGUGUAUAAACAAGAUAUGCAUAUCUAAACAUACCUCCAUAUAUUCAAACAGAACUCCAUGCAUGUGUUGUACACUUCAGUAGCUAAAAAUACUUAGUAAUCAGUGCUUCGUGUAAGAGCAAAUGGUUGGUGUCAUGCACUGAAGGUUCUUGUGCAAGAUUGACUAAAUAUCUUUCCUAUACAGAAAGAUUGUUACUUUGCAGCCACUGUUUUCUGCUCAGAAGACGCUAUUUCCAAGCCAAUUGUUGCGAGCCAUAUGUUGCUUAGCUAUAUUAGUGGCUGCUGUCACGGCUCCUGAUGCACUACUGAGUGAGACAAGAAGCACAUUGGCUUAAAUCAAUACCGGUGUUGAUGAAGCUGGCCACGGGGAAGAGGCAUUGCAAAUGAGGGCUCACGCUUUGACAGCACGCUCUGUGGCGAAGGAGAUGUUUAGCUUAAGAACCUGAAGUGUUUAUAUGGCCUCACGGUGACGGCAAGCUGUGCCUGGCUACUGAGCGAGCCUGUGGCCACUGCUUGAGAAAAGCCCAUAGCCUGAGGCCAGGCUGCAAACCUAAGUUGAAGGAGGCUGGCAUGCUCUUUUACUACAUCAUAUAUACCUAUAAUAUACAUAUAUAUAUAUAUGCACACACAUCCCUUCAUGUUUAUAGGGAUGGAGAUGUCCAGCUCUCAAUGUUCAAAACAACUUUCUUUGCCUAAAGCACCAAAGCAGUUGACCCCAAGGGACAGUACCUGCAGCAUCCAGCUGCUGAGCCUGGAUGAUCGCCACCACUAUGCCACUGCUGCUGGAAUCAUAGAAUGGUUUGGGUUGGAAGGGAACUCCAAGCCCACCUAACUCCAAUCCCCUUGCCAUGGGUAGGAACAGCUCCCACUGGAUCAGGCUGCCCAAGGUCCAUCCAACCUGGCCUGGAACCCCUCCAGGGAUGGGGCAGCCACAGCUUCCCUGGGCAACCUGGGCCAGGGCCUCACCACCCUCAUGGUGAAGAAAUUCCUCCGUGUGUCUGGUCUAAAUCUGCCCCUCUCCAGUUUACACCCAUUGCCCCUCGUCCCAUCCCCACAAGCCUUUGUGAACAGCCCCUCCCCAGCUUUUCUGUAGCCCCUUCAGGCACUGGAAGGUUGCUGUAAGGUCUCCUUGAAGCCUUCUCUUCUCCAGGCUGAACAACACCAACUCUCUCAAGCCUGAGAAACUGGAGGUGUCCUCACUGGCUUGAGGGUCAACACUGAUGGGCACAGCAUGGGAUGCUCCUGCGAUCACUGCUGCGUGUGAAUCCCCAGGCAGGGGUUUCAAUAUGAGAAGUAUCCACGUAAGCACACCUGUUCCAGCAGGCACCAUCCCUGGAGGCCUGACUGGCCGCUGGGGACAGGACAAGGACUGGCUCGUGAUCACCUAUGCCAGCAGGCUCUCGAGCCUGCGCCCCGCCAGGCAGGCACCCACACCAGGCACUGCGGCACCACGUCUGCUGGGCUCGUGAAGGAUAGAGGUGUCGGGUGCAAUGCCAAUAUAGAGUUAUAUAAAAGUAAAGCAUUUUAUAUAAGCCUAUUUUAUCUGCAAAUCAUUUAUAUUUAGAACACCUAUUUCUACUGGAAACACUAAACCCGUGUUACAUAAGAGCUUGUUUAAAUCCUUAGGCUUAAGGUUUGGGCAGGGGGAGGGGUUGGUUCAGGCAUGGUGCAUUCAGGCUGCGUUUUAUAAUCAGAGCUUCAACAUGCAGCUGAAAGCCGGUCUUGAAAUCCUUUUUGCUUUCACUCCACAGUUCCCCAACAAUAGCAGAAUACUUUGCUAGAGGGAGAUUUUCCUCUCCCUCAGUAUUGCCUUCGUGUUUGGAAAUUUUCAUCUGUAAUGCUGUGGAUGUGUUGCCAACAUAGCCGAGACGGCAGCUCGGCACUGCCCGGUCAACUUCCUAAAGUCCGGGCUGUUACAGCGGGUGGGAACAGUACUGACGUCACCCAAGUGACUGCGGCAUCGUUCUCAGAAAUUAAAAGAACACAUUAACUGGAACUGAUUAUUUAGCAAUAUAAAAUGACUUACCUUGGCAUUUGUACAACUAUAGUUUCUAAUGAAUUAAUUAUUCCCCAAGCCCUCUGCUGAGGGAAAGGCAGGAAAGAUGGUGACGAUGGCCGUAAAAUACUUCUACAACUGCACUAGAGGCAGCUGAGCCAAUUUGGAUGCACGGCCACAUGACUGUCCCCAGGGCCAGCUCAUGCAGCUGUGCCACAGCCAUGAAAAGGUUUGUGUCUGUCACAAGUGAGAAAAAACUGCUUUACCACAGAGGUGGAAUAAGACUGUGCUGCACUGUGCUGCCAGGCUCUGGACGUCACAGCUUCACCGUGGCAUUAUUACACCCUUGCUCUCAGGGAAUGGCAGUCUCUGCGCAUACCCCAGGAAUGCAGGAGCUCCAGCACUGCCACGCAAACAAGUCCUUCAGCAGCAGCUGGACGCUGGACCCACUUUGGUUUCCUGGUAUGAGGAACUCCAGAAACAGAGAAGUGGAAGAUCCCACCUUGCAGUGAUGAUGCCAUCCUUGAGACUACUCUGUUACGAAUGCUACCAGGGUAAACGGCACAAUUUCAGCAGUAACAGGUUUACCUGAUCUUCCCUCCCUUCCAUUCGGUCUGGACCAAACCUUCUGUCUCUUUCUCUCCCUCCGUGCCGUCCCUGAAAGCAAGGUCAGGAAUCACCCUGGUAAUGCAACCCUCACCCAAGGAGAAGAGCGGAAGCAGCACCUGUGUGCAGCAGGGCCUGGGCAGAGGCACAGAAAUGCCACAAGGAAAAUAGCAAGUGGUAAACACAGCCACAAGGACAUUGAGUCACUCGGUUGGGGCUCUGCACCUUGGGCUUGCGCCCCCUGGCACACUGCUGUGAGGGAACCCCGCAAACCCCGACAGUGAGAGCCUGUGGGAGGAGAGGCCACAGGGGCUUCCCCCGGGGCUGGUGGGGAACGCUGAGCAGCUGAGAGCCUGGGCAGUGAUGCGGUCAUGGCUGCAACCUCCAGCAUCACCCGCACGGCAUCCACUGGGAGCACCGCUCACCCCAAAGGCCGGAUAUGCCCCAGCCUUGCAGGGUGUGUCCCAGUGAGCCCCACUCCUUUGCCAGCAAAUCUCAGUGCAGCCCAGUAUCCUACAAGGCGGCACAGCUGGAGUGCUGUGUCCAGGUAGGAUGUGUUGGUUACCUCUGCCAAAUGACACCACUCUCCACGUUGGCACACUUUGCUCUCCAACAGGAGCACCGUGCUGAGCCCUUCUACUGCUUUCUUGCCUGGCUGCUACCUUUAAUCACCACCACUGCUCCAAUUCUCCCUGCAACUGCUCCAUAUUCAGAUGACAGGGUUCAUUAGUUUCUAUAAAUGACCAGGACACUGUAUAGAAUCCAGUUACAAAGAGCUAAAUCUUGUAAAUUAC